rnacentral:lncRNA from 1 species
UAAGACUUGAUAUUGGAACGAAGUAUGAUUGACUUCUUGAUUUUAACCAUUUCCCAAAUUCUUGAUUCCUCUUCUUAGACAUACAAACGCACUAAGACUCACUUAGAGGAUCAAUUGAGAUAUGGCUCUUAAUCAUUAAGACUUAUCAUAAAGCACAAUAAAAGAUACUCUCCCUUCUUCUUAGAAUGGAGAAACUUUUAUCUUUCUUCCUUCUUGAUUCUUCUUAUUCGUUCUGCUAUUCAUUGAAACUCUUUCAAUCAACUCAGAAUUACAUUUAAUCUUAUAAGUAUAAUCAUAUUUACUAAACUUUAGUAAAUCAUGAUGAAUAUCUUUGUCACUCUUGUGGUGGACUUGAUCAACACACAACCUAGUGUGCUCGAUCUCCUAGUCCUUCACUUGACACUUUGUCAAAGAAUUAGUCUAAUUUCCAAAAUAUGGAGUGUCUCAUUCAUCACGCAACCAAGUUGUAUGAUUCCAAGUUU